UGGGGAAUAUUGCACAAUGGGCGCAAGCCUGAUGCAGCCAUGCCGCGUGUAUGAAGAAGGCCUUUGGGUUGUAAAGUACUUUCAGUCGGGAGGAAGGUGGUAAGGUUAAUAACCUUAUCAAUUGACGUUACCGACAGAAGAAGCACCGGCUAACUCCGUGCCAGCAGCCGCGGUAAUACGGAGGGUGCAAGCGUUAAUCGGAAUUACUGGGCGUAAAGCGCACGCAGGCGGUUGAUUGAGUCAGAUGUGAAAUCCCCGGGCUUAACCCGGGAAUUGCAUCUGAUACUGGUCAGCUAGAGUCUUGUAGAGGGGGGUAGAAUUCCAUGUGUAGCGGUGAAAUGCGUAGAGAUGUGGAGGAAUACCGGUGGCGAAGGCGGCCCCCUGGACAAAGACUGACGCUCAGGUGCGAAAGCGUGGGGAGCAAACAGG
rnacentral:rRNA from 1 species